rnacentral:rRNA from 1 species
UACGGAGGGGGCUAGCGUUGUUCGGAAUUACUGGGCGUAAAGCGUACGUAGGCGGCUUUGUAAGUUAGAGGUGAAAGCCCGGGGCUCAACCCCGGAAUUGCCUUUAAGACUGCAUCGCUUGAACGUCGGAGAGGUGAGUGGAAUUCCGAGUGUAGAGGUGAAAUUCGUAGAUAUUCGGAAGAGCACCAGUGGCGAAGGCGGCUCACUGGACGACUGUUGACGCUGAGGUACGAAAGCGUGGGGAGCAAACAGG